ACAGUGGUGGCUCAGUGGUGGAAUUCUCGCCUUCCAUGCAGGAGGCCCAGGUUCGAUUCCCGGCCAGUGCU
rnacentral:tRNA from 1 species